CACAGUCCGAUGAUCAUUUCAAAAUAAUGAACGUUGUAAUCCGUCCGAAGCACUUCGGUGAUAAUUGAGGGGGUAGAAACGGACAUUGCAUUUGAUACAAACAAAAAGGUGGAGUGGAGUUCAAAAAAUGAGAGGCUUGUACCGGAGGAGCUCGCUAUGGAGGACAAGAAGAGAAGCUCCGCACUCACUCUUCUUCUUCUCAAAUGCUCUGUGUACCGACGCCAACAUUGAUGGGGUUCAAAGCUCCAGGAUCAAGGUCUUCGAUCGCCACUUCAGACGCAAACAGCUUGAUCGAGCUGCUUGGUUGAUGCGUUCCAAGGAUUCUUUUGUUGAUACUGUGGCUGAGAAUCUAUUGGAUCGUUUGGAGGACUGCAAGAAAACAUUUCCAGCGGCAUUAUGUUUAGGAGGUCAAUUGGAAGCUGUCAGGCGCUUGUUACGUGGUCGUGGUGCCAUUGAAAAGCUCAUUAUGAUGUCUGCAUCAUCUGACAUGGUAGAACUGUGUAGAAAUGCUGAGCGUGAGUUACAAACUGAAAACAUUGAAACAUCCUUUAUGGUUGGUGACGAAGAGUUUUUGCCCAUUAAGGAAAAUUCUGUGGAUCUGGUAUUAAGCUGCUUGGGACUUCACUGGACAAAUGAUCUUCCAGGAGCCAUGAUACAGUGCAGAUUGGCAUUGAAGCCAGAUGGCCUAUUUUUAGCAGCGAUUCUGGGUGGAGAAACCUUAAAAGAGCUGAGAAUAGCGUGCACCGUGGCACAAAUGGAGCGUGAAGGAGGCAUCAGUCCACGAAUAUCACCUUUGGCGCAAGUGCGGGAUGCAGGCAAUCUUUUGACCAGGGCAGGCUUUACCCUUCCAGGUGUUGAUGUGGACGAAUUUGUAGUAAGAUAUCCAAGUGGUGAGACUUUAUGGCUAAUGCUUCUUGGACGUUCCAUGUCUCACUCUGGAUCUCAUAGAACAUUUGCGUGCAAUGGGUGAAACCAAUGCUCUGCUACAAAGGAACACUAUUUUAAAGAGAGAAAUGGCCCUGGCCACCGCAGCAAUUUAUGAUUCAAUGUUUGCAGCAGAAGAUGGCACCAUCCCAGCAACCUUCCAGGUGAUUUAUAUGACAGGGUGGAGGGACCAUCCAUCUCAGCAGAGGGCAAAGAGGAGGGGGUCGGCAACUGUAUCUUUUCAGGACAUCCAGAAGCAAUUUGGAAGUGAGGAUUGAUCUCUUUAUGUGCUCACGUUUUCUAAGCAAAUGAAGGUCGACUGAGAGGAGAAAGUUGUACGACCAAAAUGUGGGGUUCGGUCAAUCAGAAUAUUGGGCGAUUGUUUUAUGAGAGUUUUAACGAAACACUUCCGUUACUGUUCAUCUAUAACGAAAAUGAUAUUUUUACCCUAAAAAGUCACUUCCGGUACUAUUCUCUUACAAUACUUUUUUGUCAUUUUGAUUAAAACUCAAAGUUUUCAACUCA